GAUCAGUCUGGGUGUGGUGUAGAGCAGCGGAUUGAAAAUCCGCGUGUCCGUGGUUCGAUUCCGCGACUGGCCACCA
rnacentral:tRNA from 1 species